rnacentral:lncRNA from 1 species
UGGCGAAGAAGGAUCAGGAUUUGGAUGCUGCUCGAAAGGAGGCUGACGACAGAAUCGCUCUAGCUGAACAGAAACUGGCUUCGGUCGGCCAGUUAGAAGAAGAGAAUACCAGGCUGAAAUCUGCUCUGAAUGACGCCAACAAGGAGUGCUCGCGCUAGAAGAAGGAGAAUCUCAUCCUGGGCGAGAAGAUGGAAAGCAUUGCUCGCAGGAGGGACGAUCUGGAGAGCUAUCUGAGGAGCCUUGCCAAGAAGUUGUUCAUCAAGCUUGAAGGUGCACAUUUUGUUUCGAUUGAUUUUUUUAUGUCGACUCAGUGUACGAAAAUUGACUUAUCCUCGUGAAUGCUGAUUUUUGCCAGAACUUCUAGGAGGAGACUGGGCGGAUUGAGUCAGGUUUGGACCCAAUCAAUUCUCCCGUAAAAGAUGAAACUGCCAUGAAUCUGCUCUGACUGGAAUCCCGCAUCGACGGUGUCAUGGACUACUUGGCUCGACUGAAGGUCGCCAUGUCGCGGAUUGACCCGACACUUUGGCCAGAGACCACG